rnacentral:rRNA from 1 species
GGAAAAGAAACCAACAGGGAUUGCCUCAGUAACGGCGAGUGAAGCGGCAAAAGCUCAAAUUUGAAAUCUAGCACUUUCAGUGUUCGAGUUGUAAUUUGAAGAAGGUAACUUUGGUUUUGGCUCUUGUCUAUGUUCCUUGGAACAGGACGUCACAGAGGGUGAGAAUCCCGUGCGAUGAGAUGCCCAAUUCCAUGUAAAGUGCUUUCGAAGAGUCGAGUUGUUUGGGAAUGCAGCUCUAAGUGGGUGGUAAAUUCCAUCUAAAGCUAAAUAUUGGCGAGAGACCGAUAGCGAACAAGUACAGUGAUGGAAAGAUGAAAAGAACUUUGAAAAGAGAGUGAAAAAGUACGUGAAAUUGUUGAAAGGGAAGGGCUUGAGAUCAGACUUGGUAUUUUGCGUUCCCUUCCUUUUUGGUUGGGUUCCUCGCAGUUUACUGGGCCAGCAUCGGUUUGGAUGGUAGGAUAAUGACAUUGGAAUGUAGCUUUACUUCGGUGAAGUGUUAUAGACUUUGUUGAUACUGCCUAUCUAGACCGAGGACUGCGUCUUUGACUAGGAUGCUGGCGUAAUGAUCUUAAGCCGCCCG